GCCAGACUCCUACGGGAGGCAGCAGUGAGGAAUAUUGGUCAAUGGGCGGGAGCCUGAACCAGCCAAGCCGCGUGAGGGAAGAAGGUACAGCGUAUCGUAAACCUCUUUUGUCAGGGAACAAAGGCGGGGACUAGUCCCCGGAUGAGGAUACCUGAAGAAAAAGCAUCGGCUAACUCCGUGCCAGCAGCCGCGGUAAUACGGAGGAUGCGAGCGUUAUCCGGAUUUAUUGGGUGUAAAGGGCGUGUAGGCGGGACUGCAAGUCAGAUGUGAAAACCACGGGCUCAACCUGUGGCCUGCAUUUGAAACUGUAGUUCUUGAGUACUGGAGAGGCAGACGGAAUUCCUAGUGUAGCGGUGAAAUGCGUAGAUAUUAGGAGGAACACCAGUGGCGAAGGCGGUCUGCUGGACAGCAACUGACGCUGAGGCGCGAAAGCGUGGGGAGCAAACAGGAUUAGAUACCCCCGUACU
rnacentral:rRNA from 1 species